rnacentral:lncRNA from 1 species
AAUGAAAAGCCCUUACUGCAUAGCAAGCACAGGCUUUGCCUCUAAGUGUGUUUCAAGCAGCAGCAGCUGAAUAAUAUUCCAUUGUGUACCACAUUUUCAUUAUCAAAUCAUCAAUGAUGGAUGUCGUGGCUGUUUCCAUUUCCUGGAUAUUAAACCAGGAAGAAGACAAAAUACCACUCCAGUAUCUGGAACCAACUAAGAGACAAGCCUCUGGGCAGGCCUGUGAGGGAGUGCUGUGAUUAGUUAACGGAGGUGAGAAGAACCACCUGCAUCCUGAUGGGGCCAUUCCCUGACCUUGUGUCCUGAACUGAGCAAGAAGGGAAGAGGCAGCUGCACAUCAGAGCUCACCAGUCUCUGCUUCCUGAUUGCACGUGUCAUAUGUGGACAAGCCCCUGCCCCCCAGCUUUCCUGCCAUGGGGGACUGCCCCCUCAGUGUUUGCCAAAAUAAAUUCAUUGU